rnacentral:rRNA from 1 species
UACGGGGGGGGCAAGCGUUGUUCGGAAUUACUGGGCGUAAAGGGCGCGUAGGCGGUUGGAUAAGUCAGCUGUGAAAACCACGAGCUUAACUCGUGGCCUGCAGUUGAGACUGUCUGGCUUGAGUGUGGGAGAGGAGAGUGGAAUUCCUGGUGUAGCGGUGAAAUGCGUAGAUAUCAGGAGGAACACCGGUGGCGAAGGCGGCUCUCUGGACCACAACUGACGCUGAGGCGCGAAAGCUAGGGGAGCAAACAGG